GACGAACGCUGGCGGCGUGCCUAACACAUGCAAGUCGAGCGGGGUUGAAGCGAGGGGUAACUCAAGCUUCUACCUAGCGGCGGACGGGUGAGUAACGCGUGGGCAACCUGCCUCAAGGUCUGGGAUAACAGCUCGAAAGGGCUGCUAAUACCGGAUAUGCCUAUGGCCUCGCAUGGGGCUAUGAGCAAAGGGGAAACCUGCCUUGAGAUGGGCCCGCGUCCCAUCAGCUAGUUGGUGAGGUAACAGCUCACCAAGGCGACGACGGGUAGCCGGCCUGAGAGGGUGACCGGCCACACUGGGACUGAGACACGGCCCAGACUCCUACGGGGGGCAGCAGUGGGGAAUCUUGCGCAAUGGGCGAAAAGCCUGACGCAGCGACGCCGCGUGAGCGAAGAAGGCCUUCGGUCGUAAAGCGUCAGUCAUUGGGGAGUGAGAUGACAGUACCCAACGGAGGAAGCCCCGGCUAACUACGUGCCAGCAGCCGCGGUAAAACGUACAACCGG
rnacentral:rRNA from 1 species